UCCUACUGGGCUUCUGCAUAACUCUGAAUAAAGAGGGGCUCACCCCACCCCCCACCUCCCCACCCUCCUAGGGCUCCCACUAUGACCCUAGGCCAGGGCCCUCCACACAAAUCUGUUCUGAGCCUGAGUCACUCAGUAGUAAACAGGCAGUACCUGUCAGCUUCUCUCAGCUGCACCUUACCCUCUUCUGACCCUCUUCUGUCCUUGGGGCCCCCGCCACAGCAUAGCAGGUGGAUCUCCCUUCCCCCACCAGCCUGGUAAGCACUGGCCACACCCUGUCUUGACUCAGAUGCCACAAAUUCCCAAAUGCCACUGGUUCUGACUCCAGCGUUCCUACCAGAGGCCCUGUCACCAGCAUCCAGUGGCCCGGCAUGAAUGCCCACACCCCACAGGCUUAUCCCUGUCUCCUUUAGUCUCCUGACCCUCAACACCACACUGGCACCAUGGGGGCCUGGAUGCUAGCUGUGAACCAAAGAGAGGAGCCUGAUCCUCCUGGUGUCCCAAAGACCACAGGACCCAUUCUGUUCCCUUCACAGAUAAGUAUCUUUGGUAUGGUUCAGAGCUAUGUUCUCAGUGUCAGGAGAGGGCACGGAUAGAGGGAGGUGGGGAUGGAGGAAGGGGGGUAGAGGGAGGAAUGGAGGAGGGAAGAGAGGGAGUCCCCCCUCGGAGAGUUGAUGGGAGGGCUGGCCUUGUGGAGCCAAGAGAAAGUUACUGGUUUGCCUGUCAUUCUGAUACAGAUCCACCCAGAGUCCCUUUCACAGAGACUACAGAAUAUUAGAUUUAUCACACACUCUAGCCGAGAUGUGCUGCCGAGAUUUCGGGACAAGAUUUAUUAUACCGGCAGGCUUUUUAAAAUGAAAGAGAAUCUUCUGGCUGAAGCGAGUCUGUUAACGGAAAAGCAGCAGAUAUCCUAGAAGUAUAAGCCAUGAGGACCCUGCUAAGCCAGAGGAAACAGGGGUGCAUGAAGGAGCAAUGACCUCUGAGGCUGCUUCCAGAACCUUCCUUAAGUGGACCACCAUCUCAUCUAACCUUGCCAAGAGUGUUAAGAUGAACGCUGGUUGUCUUCACUAUGAACAGCAGGACUCCAAGGUUCUAAGAGAAAAACACACUGGAGGUCAUGGGGCUGGCAAGGAGAGUCAGGAUUCGAACCUGUGUCUGCCUAGUCCCUCAGUCACAUAUCCCUCUAUUCUCCCUCAGCCACGUCUGUGUGAGCGUGUGGAGUCUGGGGGCCAGGCUUCAGUGUGGUUCCUCAGUCUCCAUCCUCUAAGUUUUCCAGACAGGCUCUCUCUCUCUCUCUCUCUCUCUCUCUCUCUCACUCUCUCACUCACUCACUCACUCACUGGCCUGACACUCCCUGGUUAGGCUGGUUCAGCCCCCAGCGCUGGGAUAACAAUGGCAACCAGAACACCCGACUUUUACACAGAUUUUGGGGCUCAAACUCAAGACUUCGUGUUUACGUGGCAAGCACCAAGCAUCUUCCUAGAUCCCUACACCCAACAUUUUAAAUUUGAAAUUAAACAAUUAAAGCCAAAGGAGGGUGUCCUGGCCACUGGUACCCACCAGCAUAUAUUGCUAAUCAUAUUCAGAGAUGGGACCCAGCACCAGGUCCCACAUUCAACAGCUCAGCCCCAGCCCCCUUGCUCCCCACUCCCUCAGGCCCCUGUCUAGUUUGUCCCACCAGUGAAUAGACUAUCCUGACUGGAAUUGACAUCCGUCCCCAACAGGGACACCAGUAAAGGGUGUUCUCAGUUUUACUCAAAGGCCUCAUGGUAAUUCGUGGUUAUAAGGAAGGUGGACCCUGCCUCUUGCAAAUGUCAUCAGCGUGUCCUACAAACUCUCAGUGCAGGACCAACAGGACAGCAGUGCACCACCACGCCCACCACACCUACCACACCUGACACCAUGCCCACCACACCUGAAGGGCCGGGGCAGGCACACAGCUCACAGGACUACUCUGAGCAUUGGUCCCUGCUGUCUACCUCAGUGACGUCAGGUGUCUACAUGAUAAGCAAGCCCUUGACUCAAACGUCACCUGCACCCGUGUUCUCUUCCUCCUAUGAUUGGGGAAGCUUUGAAAGCAUCGAGUUGAAAGAUUAAGGAAAUGUGGGGGGAGCGCUGGGGGGGCUGGGGCACGAAAAACCCAACCCAAGUCCUCAAGGUUUAAUAGUCAAUAAAUGUGUCAAUUUUA